UACAGAGGGUGCGAGCGUUGUCCGGAAUCACUGGGCGUAAAGGGCGCGUAGGUGGCCUGAUAAGUAGGGGGUGAAAUCUCACUGCUCAACAGUGAAACUGCCUUUGAUACUGCAGGUCUUGAAUCCAGAAGAGAGUUGUGGAAUUCCGAGUGUAGCAGUGAAAUGUGUAGAUAUUCGGAAGAACACCAGCGGCGAAGGCAGCAACUUGGUCUGGUAUUGACGCUCAGGCACGAAAGCAUGGGGAUCAAACAGG
rnacentral:rRNA from 1 species